rnacentral:rRNA from 1 species
AGUGAACGCUGGCGGUAGGCCUAACACAUGCAAGUCGAACGGCGGCACAGUAAGAGCUUGCUCUUACGGGUGGCGAGUGGCGGACGGGUGAGGCAUACAUCGGAAUCUACUUUUUCGUGGGGGAUAACGUAGGGAAACUUACGCUAAUACCGCAUACGACCUACGGGUGAAAGCAGGGGAUCUUCGGACCUUGCGCGAUUGAAUGAGCCGAUGUCGGAUUAGCUAGUUGGCGGGGUAAAGGCCCACCAAGGCGACGAUCCGUAGCUGGUCUGAGAGGAUGAUCAGCCACACUGGAACUGAGACACGGUCCAGACUCCUACGGGAGGCAGCAGUGGGGAAUAUUGGACAAUGGGCGCAAGCCUGAUCCAGCCAUACCGCGUGGGUGAAGAAGGCCUUCGGGUUGUAAAGCCCUUUUGUUGGGAAAGAAAAGCAGCAGGUUAAUACCCCGCUGUUCUGACGGUACCCAAAGAAUAAGCACCGGCUAACUUCGUG